rnacentral:rRNA from 1 species
CGAAGGGUGCAAGCGUUACUCGGAAUUACUGGGCGUAAAGCGUGCGUAGGUGGUGGUUUAAGUCUGCUGUGAAAGCCCUGGGCUCAACCUGGGAAUUGCAGUGGAUACUGGAUCACUAGAGUGUGGUAGAGGGAUGCGGAAUUUCUGGUGUAGCAGUGAAAUGCGUAGAGAUCAGAAGGAACAUCCGUGGCGAAGGCGGCAUCCUGGGGCCAACACUGACACUGAGGCACGAAAGCGUGGGAGCAAACAGGAUU